CCGAGUUCUAAACUCACAAACCCAUUGUGAACAUACCUAUAUGUUGCUUCGGCGGUCAGCGCGCCCGUAACGGACGGCCCGCCGAAGGCUCCUAAACUCUUGUUUUCCUAGUGACUACUCUGAGUAAAAUCUUGAAAUAAAUCA
rnacentral:misc_RNA from 1 species